CUGCCAGGAGCACAAAGACACUCUCAGCUUGAGGCAAAACUGAGCACAAUUGUGCAGGGGAAUCCAUGCCUCAUGGCGCUCUCCAGUCUGCUCUGGGUGUUCCUGGCCUUCACCUUCGCUGGUAGGGAUGCUCCUACACAUGGAUGCGCGUGUUCAGGGUGAAAGGACUGCACACAGGAUCCAGUGUAGCCCAGAAAGUUAUUCAAGACCAGCCAGACAUAUCCAGUCGAGUUGAGGAGUCAGUUACCCUGAAUUGUCGAUAUGAAACAAGUUGGAGCAGUUACAGCAUUUUUUGGUACAAGCAACUUCCCAGUGGAGCAAUGAUUUUACUUACAAGGGGUGCCCGUUACUCUAUAAAUGUUGAGAGAUCACGUAAAUCAUCCAGCCUCACCAUUUCAACCUUACAAUUGGAAGAUUCUGCAAAGUACUUCUGUGCUCUCUGGGAACUCACAGUGCUUGAAGCAAUAGGAAAAGCUGAACAAAAACCCCCAAGCUUAAUAAGAGAAAGCCUCUCUGCUGUAGGACCCAGGCUGAAAUACACACCUGCAGAUCCCAGACAAUAA